AGCAACUAACACCCACCUAAGGGUAGUGGGUUUAUUCACAGGAAGGUUUGCAACUGCAGUGAACUAGACUUGGAUAGCUACAAAAGCUGAAGUGAAAAGAAAAGAAAAGAAAAGAAAAACAUCAACUCCCCUUAUUCCAUGCUCUCAGGGAUUGCUAAGAAGGCAGAAGCUGCUGUUUCUCCUGAGCAGAGGUUGGAGGGAACUGUCCACCAUCGGAGGGAGUCUUUGACUCUGAAGGGCCAAAGGAAAGGAAACAAGCGAUGGUAAGCUGCGUGGAUUGAAGAGCUUCGUUGAGUGUUGAGGCUUUGAGGAGACAAUCGUCGAGGGGUUUGAAUUCCUAGAGACCGGAGAGUUGCCCUGGAGUCCUUCAUGGAGUGGAGUGCAUCAUUUGUGGUGGAGGCAAACAGUUUGUCACCGUUGAAGGAGAGAUCCUCAAUGGUACUCUGGACCUCCAGGGG